rnacentral:rRNA from 1 species
GAGUUUGAUCAUGGCUCAGGACGACGCUGGCGGCGUGCUUAACACAUGCAAGUCGAGCGGAAAGGCCCUUUCGGGGGUACUCGAGCGGCGAACGGGUGAGUAACACGUGAGUAAUCUGCCCUUGGCUUUGGGAUAACUACCGGAAACGGUGGCUAAUACCGGAUACGACCACUCCUUGCAUGAGGUGGUGGUGGAAAGUUUUUCGGCCAGGGAUGUGCUCGCGGCCUAUCAGCUUGUUGGUGGGGUAAUGGCCUACCAAGGCUUCGACGGUGGCCGGCCUGAGAGGGUGACCGGCCACACUGGGACUGAGACACGGCCCAGACUCCUACGGGAGGCAGCAGUGGGGAAUAUUGGACAAUGGGCGGAAGCCUGAUCCAGCAACGCCGCGUGAGGGAUGACGGCCUUCGGGUUGUAAACCUCUUUCAGUACCGACGAAGCGCCGAUGAUGGUGGUGACGGUAGGUACAGAAGAAGCACCGGCCAACUACGUG